ensembl:snoRNA SNORD15 Small nucleolar RNA SNORD15
CUUCGGUGAUGAUACGAUGACGAGACGGAACAUGGCUCAGUCUGGUUCUGCGGGUUCCUGGUUCAGGACCACGUUCUGUGGUUCUGCUCCAGUGCCUCAGACCAGGAAGUCCUUUUACAUGAAGAUAUCGAGGCAUUUGUCUGAGAAGG